rnacentral:rRNA from 1 species
UACGAAGGGGGCGAGCGUUGUUCGGAAUUACUGGGCGUAAAGGGCGCGUAGGCGGCAAUUCAAGUCAGCUGUGAAAUCUCCGGGCUUAACUCGGAACGGUCAGCUGAUACUGCUUUGCUAGAGUGCAGAAGGGGCAAUCGGAAUUCUUGGUGUAGCGGUGAAAUGCGUAGAUAUCAAGAGGAACACCUGAGGUGAAGACGGGUUGCUGGGCUGACACUGACGCUGAGGCGCGAAAGCUAGGGUAGCAAACGGG